CGGGUGAGUAACACGUAGGUAAUGUACCUUUGGGUGGGGGAAUAACUUAGGGAAACUUAAGCUAAUACCGCAUAAUGCAGCGGCUCCUUAUGGAGACAGUUGUUAAAGAUUUAUCGCCUAAAGAGCAGCCUGCGGCAGAUUAGCUAGUUGGUAAGGUAAUGGCUUACCAAGGCUACGAUCUGUAUCCGACCUGAGAGGGUGGUCGGACACACUGACACUGAAUAACGGGUCAG
rnacentral:rRNA from 1 species